GGAGAGAUGGCCGAGUGGUCGAAGGCGCACGCCUGGAAAGUGUGUAUACGGCAACGUAUCGAGGGUUCGAAUCCCUCUCUCUCCG
rnacentral:tRNA from 1 species